CCCGUCAGUUAAAGUUCGGUAUUCAGUUUUAGUCGCGCCGAGGCAUCCGUCGAGGAGGGCUGCAACAAAUUUGCGCGUGAUAAGACGGGCGGCAAAACGCGAAUGUGCGUGAAAGGCAGACUUGUUGAAGAAGGCAAAAAAAGAGAAAAAUCAACCGGGACGCGACGUUCUGAAAUUGUGAAAUUUUAUACAAUCGACAUUAGAGCGGCGUUGUUAAAACCGUUUCUGAAACGAGGGAGAUGAUCUGGACCGUUGACAGUGAUGCUGCGCAGGCACUGUGAUACUUUAUAAAAAUAAAUAACACGAUUUAUCGUGAAUAUUGAAGUGUAAUCGUGUGUGAAGAAAAAGAAAACAACUUGGCGGGCUACUUGUAAAGACAGUGCAAUAAAUUAUCAUUGACAUUAUAAUCACCAUCGCGUUUCGGGGAAUAAAUUAUAACUCAGCGGUCUCCGUCGAUAUUCGUGGUGUGACGAGUAUCCUCCCUUCGGUUUCUCUUUCUCGGCUCCAGGAAUAUAACCGGGAUUACGAAUUUUCAAAAUGGGGUGUGGCUCACGAUGCGCAAAGUACUUUUUGUGCUUUUUCAAUUUCAUAUUCUUCGUCGCCGGUGGAGCGGCUCUGGCAGUUGGAAUAUGGUUGGUAGCUGACAGAAAUUCCUUCACAAAUCUGAUCGCCAAGGUUGACCAGGCAGACGUUUUGAACAAAACUGACGCCGAGGUCAUCAGAUUAAUCGCCUAUAUUCUGAUAGCGGCUGGGGCGCUAACAUUUGUUGUCAGCUUUCUCGGAUAUUGCGGAGCUAUGUUCGAAUCUCGAUGCCUCUUAUGCUUCUACGGAGUUCUCUUGGUCCUGAUUUUGGUACUCCAAUGUAUAGCAGUUGGAUUGGCGUUCGGAUUCAGAGAAGACGCCGAGAAUGAAACUCGGAAUUUCUUCAAGUCUACAAUCAAGUUUUACGCGUCCUCAGACAAAGCUGAAACGGUCACGGUCGUGUGGGACGGAAUUAUGACUCAGCUCCAUUGCUGCGGAGUUGAAAGUUACCUCGACUUUCGUCAAAGCACAAAUUGGACAUCGGCUGGAAAAUUGGUACCCGAAGCUUGUUGCAUGAGAGAGGACGGACACAUCACAGAUCUGGAUUGUCCAGUUAGCCCAACCGCUCAAAAUUCAUACUACCAAACAGGCUGCUACGGAGCGAUGGUUCGAGUUAUCGAGGAAAAUGCAGCGAUAGCAAUUGGUGUCGCAGUUGCACUAGCAUUCGUCGAACUGUUGGUCAUCAUCCUUGCUUUGUAUCUCGCCUGCUGUUACUGGCGUCCACAACAUGCUUGUGUAGAUGUUUCGCCAAGACAGGCCUGGUGAUGAGGUGAUUACGGUGUGGUGGAGUGAUCGUGAAGUGGGAUAAUGGGAAUAGUUUGGUUCCAAUGUUAACUUGUUGGUGCUGCUGUUGAGGAGAAAAGUGCACAUGGACCAACUCUGAUAUUUGAAUAGUGCCUUCUAGCAUUCACUGAUACUGAGAGCCUGUAGCGCUCGGAUGCCUUCCUUGCUUGCUUGACGCAAACUACCCCUAGCCUUUAGCUAGCCUAGGCCCGGUCAGCAGCGGCAAUUAUCAUCAUCUCUAAUGUGCACACCGACUGAUACUUUGCGCCAACCUUCAGGCUUGCUACAAACGUAGAAUGCAUCAUUUUUGUUGAAUGUCUCUUCAUUGUUAUAUUAUGUGUAUACUUGUCAAUAAUUAUACUGACUAUACACCCACUAUUUUUUUUUUUAUCAUUAAUAUUUUUUUUUAACUAUAAACAGAUGAAUAUAAAAAAAAAGAAACUAUACAACGAUUAUCAUUUUAUAAGCACCUGUAGAUCUGUGAACAAGCUUAUCACUCUCCCAUUGCAAAAAAACUGUAGGUUUAGUUUCACAAAACUGUUGAUGUUUUUACAUACAAUUAUGUAUUUGAAGCGUUAUAAAUAUUAUUUGUAUUUAUUUCUAUUUGUUACGACCGUUUCGUCUCGUACUUUUAGGACCCUUAUCAUUAGUAUCAUGAUUUUUUUUAAUCAACUAUCGGAUUGCUUGAGAUCAAGGAUAAUUAUUUACUUUUGCAAUUGAUUUUACUGAUGAAUCGACGAUAUUAUUUUAUUUGGGAUACCACAGAUAAUUCAAAUGGAUAUGAGCAAGAAAAAUCACGCACAAGAUUUUGUAAAUGUUAUACGAGUUCUUAUUAUCGCUGUGAAUAUUGAUUGAUAAAUUUAUUUUAUGAAUUUAAUUUGCACGUCCAGAAGAUCGAAGUCUUAUGCAACAAGAUGACGAAUAAAUGAGAAAACUCAAGAACAAGACGAAUCGUAUCUUUUCCAAUGGAUCCAUUGAUAUUGUUUUAAUUUAUUUUGAGAUAAAAUGUUCUUUGGACAACGUGUGGAUUGUUGUAAAUUAAUCUUGUAUAAACGGGGAGCUUAGUGCCAGAGCUUCUUGAUGUAUUUAAAUCGAUUUUACAAAUUAACAAGUUCGAGUUGCAUUGAAUUUCAAUAUUCUUUUCUCAAACUGUAGGCCGUCCAUAUACAUACAUAUAUGUCUGUGCACUUUUUAUAUGAAAAAAAUAAAAUAAUAGCACAUUUUCUUUAGCGGCUAUCAAUGAUUAUGUGAAUUUGCCCUGGUGCUGACUACCUCGAAUAUACAUGUGUCACAUCCAUGUAGAAUAACCAUUAGAAUUUUGGUCACAAGCCAAGGCUUUGAAAUCUGCGUUAAAACUGCAAAAUCUAAAGCCACGUCAUGGAAUAUGUUUACAUUUUUAUACAGAGACUGAUACCUGACCUAAAAAUGUAUAUAAUUGACGUUAGAUAAUCAAUAUACUCCGAUGAUUAUAUCAUGAAGCAUGGCUAUCAAAUAUUAUUAUCUUAUUAAUAUUAUAAAUUAUAAUUAUAAUUAUACACAGUGAAUGAUAUCAAAGAUAUCAUUAAUUUGUUAAGAUUAUUAAAUGUUUUGUAAAAACUGUACACACAGAAGUAAAAUAAAAAUUUUAUAUUAUUCUUAA
rnacentral:misc_RNA from 1 species